CCAGCAGCCCCCUUUAUUUCCAGACAAAAGGUUGUCAACAAACCUGGAAAUGAGUCCUGGUCUUGUGGAAACUGAACUCAGCUUCGUGGGGCUGACCGCUCUGGCCCAGGGUGGUAUAUGAC
rfam:Equus caballus chromosome 3, whole genome shotgun sequence.